rnacentral:rRNA from 1 species
AGCGAACGCUGGCGGCAGGCCUAACACAUGCAAGUCGAGCGGCCGUAGCAAUACGGCAGCGGCAGACGGGAGAGUAACACGUGGGAACGUACCCUUCAGUUCGGAACAACCCAGGGAAACUUGGGCUAAUACCGGAUAAGCCCUUACGGGGAAAGAUUUAUCGCUGAAGGAGCGGCCCGCGUCUGAUUAGCUAGUUGGUGAGGUAACGGCUCACCAAGGCGACGAUCAGUAGCUGGUCUGAGAGGAUGAUCAGCCUCACUGGGACUGAGACACGGCCCAGACUCCUACGGGAGGCAGCAGUGGGGAAUAUUGGACAAUGGGCGCAAGCCUGAUCCAGCCAUGCCGCGUGGAUGAUGAAGGCCUUUGGGUUGUAAAGUCCUUUCAGCGGGGAAGAUAAUGACGGUACCCGCAGAAGAAGCCCCGGCUAACUUCGUGCCAGCCGCCGCGGUAA